rnacentral:rRNA from 1 species
CACCGUCCAAGUGACUUGGUUCAAAAAACUUUUCCUGUACAGUGGCGCGGGUCUCAUCAUGAUGAUCAUCCUUUUCAGAAGAAAGGGAUCAGGUGUCAUCUCUCGUCAUGCGGGCCGGCGGUGUCGAAAGUAGUUGUAUUUCCGGGUGGGGGUGCUUGCCCGCCUCCUUCCCGCCUUCCCCCGUUCCUCGUCUGGUUCCUUCUACUCGUUCUGACGGGAGGAGUGGGGGAUGUUCUACCCUUCCAAACUAGAAAGGGUGUCCCAUCAAGAACGUGGUGACUGUUCCCUCGCCAGGAAGCCUUUACAAGGAGUCGGAGUACGGUAUGACAUAAUAGUUGUCUCUUGUUGGUUUCCUCCGGAAAACUAACGACUCCGGUGACCUCAAAGUCUGUGACGAGUUCCCAUGUUUCUGUGAGGACCGUAAACCUGUUUCCUCGUUCAUCUUCGUACCUUUGGCUAGCACUUACCCCAAGUGCGUUUUCCUCCUUAUAAAAAGACAGUCUAAACCGUACAUCCUUCUCAGAGGUUAGUGUGAAAAGUCGGAUUGCCCGUCCGAGGUUAAAGCUCGUGACUAUUCGGUGAGUUUGGACAUCAAUCUCGGUUACCGUAUCUACACGGAUGUUAAAGUUGAGGAUCCGCCGAUGUCUGAUUACUCUAAGGAAACCAUUAGUUGCUAAAAUCCCGACGACGAUCUUUACGUUAACUUCGGCCUAAACUACCACAACUUUAGGUACCUCGAGUACCAAUAAACUAACUAGUCAAGAAUUUCCUGGUUCAGUUACUAGCGUGACUGUUUAUACCACCCUCGAAUCUCUUAGCGACGGCGAAACGUAACCUUCAUCAAGUUCGACAUCAACUACUUCAACCUCGACUAUUCCAACCCUAUUCCGAGAGAGGCAAACGCUUGAUAAGUCUCCGUAGGCUGAGUUUGGGUCUUCGAGAUCCGGAUAUGUACCGUGUACGUGAUUUGUUUAAACCUUAAGAGAUAACAGUGUACCACCUUGGUGCCUACCACUUAUAACCACUCUUCAAACUUUGAGGGGUAUCAGAAGCGGGGUAUUCCCUACGAAAAUUUCCUUGUAAAUAACAUCGACCCCCUAUGCUGUCCCUACUACCUUUAUUUCGUUAGCGGCUACUGAUACGACUAAACCAUCGUAUACCCGCGAACAAAAAUAGGUUAGGACUGAACGGAGCCUCCAAACUUUAUCCACGAGGAGAGUUGUUCAUGUAUUCUCUAUGAAAGAUGGAGAGACUAGGUCAAUAACCUAUGUGACUAAUGGGUAAAGACGGCAGGCUACAGAUCUACCCGGAAAGUCCUUACUUAGGGGUGGGGUAGUCUAGUAGAUGGAGUACAUAGUCAUGAUACAAUUUCCUUAUUCCAGUAACUAAAGUUACGAGUACACAUAGCCGUGCCAUACCUAUUUUAUACAUUAGUAGUAACGUUAAAUUCUUCACGUUCGACCUUUCGUUUAAUUCUUCAGACUAAAGAACGGUUAGGGUGUGUGAGUUAUGAAUUUAACCACGUUGUCUUUAAGGACUAAUACGUCCUUUGACCUUUUUUUACGAUAAUCCAAUGGAACACUUAGGUCGUAUUAGUAAUCUUGAAACCAAAACCGUACAAGGGUAAUAUUUGGGCGGUAGAGAACAUUUAUGAAACUAAAGAGAAGAGAGAAUUACUUUUCCGUCGUAGGACGGUCAACGAACGGUUUUUUUUUUUAGUCGUCUUGAUACUAAAAAACGUGGAUCGGGUUAUGUAAGUUAUCGAUUUAACCACGUUGUCUUUUGAAGUCAACAACAAAUUAAAUCUUGAAUCGUUCUAAAAGUACUAAAUUUGGGAAAUUCACCAAUCUAGAUUUAAAGUGACAAGUCAAUUUACAUCUAGAAGUCAAAGACAAGAUUAGACUGUUUCAACUUGGAACCAGAGGAAGUUUAAGAAAUUCACUUUUUUCUCUUCUCCUAGAUGAUGUGAGAGUUCGAAUAGUAUUUUCAUGAACACGUUAUUACAAAACCUUACUGAUAGGGACUAUAAUGGACUGUAACAGAGUUCAUUUAUAGUCCGAGUGUCUAAUCCCUUAGAAUAAGACUCGAAAUUAACAACUAUAGCGGUGGAUGUCUUAUCACUUUUCGUCGUAAUAAUCAUGCAUAUAUUUUUACUUUCGAUACACUACCGGUUAUGAACACCAAGGAAACCGUAGUGUCUGUACAAUCUUUAGAAGGAAACCUUGAAAUAGCGGACACAACUAAAAAAUUACAUCAAAAUUAUCUUAAUAUCGACAGUGUAAGUAAAACACCUACUACAUAGUACAAGUUCCUUCUCGAAAGUUAUGGGAAGACAUAGUUUUCACUCCAAGUCUACGUGAUGUCGUGUGUUAGAAUAACCAACAAACAAAUAAGCACUUGUUUAGAAUCAAUAAGAGAAGUCUCCGGACAAUAAAUCACGUUUAAAUACCAAAACAAUCACUUCUGAUUAUAAUCCACGGAGUGCCGACCUUAUCAAAAGUUUCUCUAACGAUCUAUUCGUGCUUAAAGCCGAUACGGAAAAUGCCAAAAGAAAGUACAUUUCUUUAAAGAAUUCUAGUCCGUUGGUUCUGAAGAGAAGAGAGAGUGUUUCAUUUCUUACGUUCAUUACAAUAAUAAACUUUCUAAUUUUUUUAUAGAUCGAACUUCUAAGACGAUCAAAAACGAUUUAGUUUAACAAAAGAGUUGACUAUAUCCCUCCGUUGACGUUAUAAACUUUUAGGAUAGUUUGAUCACUAUCCUCAAGGUCUUACUUGAAAGACACUGUCUCUCGACUUUUGAAUCGUUGACAAGUGAAAAAAAUUUAGAUUUAUACAUCGUUAGUACCAUGUUCACUCGUCCGUACGGAUUUUUUAUGUAAACGUAACUCUUCAUUAUCUUAUACUUGAACACUUCGAGCUAUAACACGUUUCAAUGUCAUAAGGCCGUUCUAUGUUGUUUCCUUGUAGUGAUCUGAAUACAACUUUAAAUUGAUAACAAGGUAGUACACUACUCGGACCACCGUGGAAAGAAAAAGUUUGUGAAGUUAACUUUCCUUCGCCGAUCAACUGUGAGAAAGGAUGGACUAUAGAUAGUUGUAUCGGUGUAGCCAAACACGGAGAAGUCACCUACCAUAUUGGAUUUCUUGUAAACGAUCUGAGCUUUUUUCGCUGUUUGUUUUUUAGUAGUCGAAACGUAAACAAGGAAACAGCCCCUCAUUAAUAAGAGAUACGAAGAAAAUUAAAAAUAUACAACAAUGUAAAAUUAAUAUAGACCAGAUAUAGAUACCGUAAUGGAUUACUUAAUCAAACCUAUUACCGUCUCAGUGGGAAGAUGGAACAUAUAAUAGACGAAUAACUAAACUCAUAAGAUACUUUAAGGUACAGCAUUUUUUUUAGUAUUGCACAUCCUAAGUACAUGAACCAAGUGGCGACAAAGAAGUAGGGAGUAUACAUUCACUACGUACUUUGGAUAGAUAAAGACUUUUACGACACAGAGUAUGACAAUGUUGAACAGAAUUGUCAUGAGUUUCCCCGUGGAAGGAACGAUUCGUCUUGUACAAAAGUAUUCUACAUGGAUAAAACCGGUCCCUUAGGACUAUGAAUUGUAAGUGUUAUAGUUUAUUUUUGUUUUUCAUUAUCUAGGUUAGUUGUGUCUUCAACUACUAUUUCCUUCUAUGAAGUAAAACCUCUUGGCUAAGCCCAAGUCAACCGAUUACCGCAGUGUGGCUCGGGUGGGUGUAAGCUGAGAGUGGAGGCACCUACGAGUAUAAAACUUUACGAGUUUUUACGUCAAAAUCCAAGAAUUGAUUUCAAGAACUAAAGUAACCUGAAGGGCUCUAAACUACUUACUAUCUCUAUCUUUAUAUGACGUGACGACACGGAGACAUUACACUGACUGGUGGAACUGAAACUGUUAUGAACUCCUGUUGACCAGACCUUAGACCUAGAUUUCGGUAAAAUUUCACAAGUACUUUCCCCACCAGGACCACUCGACGGUAGUACUAAAGUAUACUCGAUCGGUAGUAUUGAAACCAGUUAAUUCUAAAGCGAGGUCAACACGUACAUAUUUAUACAAUAAACAAGGAUGACGUUCAAAGAACGAAAUAAGAAGAACAUAAACGAUGAAGACCUCACCGUCUGUACAGUACAAACCUAGAUGAUUCACGUGAUUCGUUGGAGAAGAGUUGACUUGUAUUACCAUGUUCUUGGUCGAUUGACACUAAUCUAAUAGUCGUCCAUGAAGAAAAAUAACCUGUAAUAAAAGUUAACAAGGUUCAUUUGAACGUCUAUCCUACCUCAUAUGGUCUGAGAAAACCAACCACAACCUUAAGAUAUUUUCUGUCUCAGUACUUUUGGUUCACUUGUUUUGUUUUAUCCAACGUACUGUGAAUUGUCAUUGUACAUCACAACCGAAGUGUGAAGCUUAACAUGCCAUGCGUAAAGAAAAUUUUGAGAAGUCUCCUAACAUCUUAUAUAGCACACAGUAAGGAUAAAAAUAGUAAGAAAUCAGUCUACCGCCGUAUAACUUAUACUCGCAUGUUCUUUCCUUUAACAUCUUAUGAUCUCAAAUUUUACAAUAAGACUGGAAAGUUUGAUCUUGUUUCGGAAUUGUCACAUUUCACAUUUACGGAAAUGUAGUCUGUAUAAGGAGUGAUUUAUAAGUAACAUUAGUACCCGGUGAACUAAUAGAUCGUACCCCGUCAUGUUCGUUGUACCUAAAAUAUAUAAUGUUCCUUAAGUUAUGUGAAACUUGUUCGACAUUGUAUACGGGAACAUGUUCCAUCGAUAAAUCAGAUGAAACACUUAACGUUGUCACUACACAACAAACUGAGAAGGUGUUGGACGUUCCUGACCGGAUGGUUAAUAAGGAACAGGAGUCCUCGGUGUUAUUUUACGAGUGUAGGUACUGUCCAGAUUUAGUGGUAAACGGAGUUCACGCUCUCCUCCUAGGUCUCAGGUCAACGUUGUUGGAGUCUUCGAUCAGGUUUGAUCACCCUCCAACACACGUGUUUGGUCUUCCAUCUGACUUCUUAUCAUUACCGAGCACCAUUCCAAGUCUACUCUUCCUAUCUUUUGGGUCACGUGUCCGUCCAGUGGAAGACGUUCGCCGCUUACCCGGAAGACUUCUUCCGUUUCCUCAACAGGCAAAAUACACUACGACUAUAGCCACAGUACCACAAAAGAGGAGUACCUUUCCAAAUACUCGAUCGAUGGUUGCCCUUGUACGUUCCGAAUUAACUCUCCAUGUUCCCAUCGUUGUGUCUUCGUGUACCACUUUCAUCGCUCGUCUUGUUUGGGCUCCAUUAUGUCGUUCUCCAUGAUGAGAAUUCCGUUCUUUAACUGAACGAAGUUUUCCCGAAUUCCAUGUACAUACCUCUCUUACUAUAUUUGGUGUACUUAGAGUUACUCGACGUUCGGGACCUCUCAUUGGAACUUUAAACCCAUGUGUUAUAGGCGAUAUGUUUUUACGUCUAGUAUAGAUCCCUCUAACUCUACGAGUUCUGGUUCCUUCCAUAUGACUUCCGACGUUUGCUGUAUGAAGUUCUUUCCUAUUAACUCGUCUCGCCCUAAGACCUGUGGCCGUCGUUGUACUACUACGGUGUUAAAGGGAAGGUCGCUUGGUACCUCCCACCUAUGAUGAAGAUCGGAUUUGUUGGUUGGAUAGUUCGAUAGAGCGGACAAGCCCAAACUCAAGUUGUUCCGAUGGGAAAUACCUUGAGUGUAUUGGAAUACACACGGUGAAGUACAACAUUUUUCCUCUUUCUUCUAGUCGUAGACAGCUACAUGUACGAAAAAGUAUACAUCUAAGCAGGAGAAAGUCUAACCUGACAAGCGUCUAACGUACUACAAUGACGUCAAAGGGGAGGUCGAUUGGUACCUCUCCUCAUGAGCACAUCGGACUUACUGGCUGGAUAGGUUCAAUAGAGGAUCAAGGCUAAACUCAAGUUGUUCCGCUGGAACGUUCCUGCAGAGUAUCGGAACACA